rnacentral:rRNA from 1 species
UACAGAGGUCCCGAGCGUUGUUCGGAUUCAUUGGGCGUAAAGGGUGUGUAGGAGGUUGGGUAAGUCGGAUGUGAAAUCUCACCGCUUAACGGUGAAACUGCAUUCGAUACUGCUUGGCUAGAGGAUCGGAGGGGGUAUCGGAAUUCAUGGUGUAGCAGUGAAAUGCGUAGAUAUCUGGAGGAAUACCGGUGGCGAAGGCGGCAUCCUGGACCGACAUUGACGCUGAACGGCGAAAGCUAGGGGAGCAAACGGGG